rnacentral:rRNA from 1 species
GGGGAAUAUUGGACAAUGGGCGAAAGCCUGAUCCAGCCAUGCCGCGUGUGUGAAGAAGGUCUUCGGAUUGUAAAGCACUUUAAGUUGGGAGGAAGGGUUGUAGAUUAAUACUCUGCAAUUUUGACGUUACCGACAGAAUAAGCACCGGCUAACUUCGUGCCAGCAGCCGCGGUAAUACGAAGGGUGCAAGCGUUAAUCGGAAUUACUGGGCGUAAAGCGCGCGUAGGUGGUUCGUUAAGUUGGAUGUGAAAGCCCCGGGCUCAACCUGGGAACUGCAUCCAAAACUGGCGAGCUAGAGUACGGUAGAGGGUGGUGGAAUUUCCUGUGUAGCGGUGAAAUGCGUAGAGAUCGAGAGGAAUACUCAUUGCGAAGGCGACCUGCUGGAACAUUACUGACGCUGAGGUGCGAAAGCGUGGGGAGCAAACA